rnacentral:rRNA from 1 species
GAUGAACGCUAGCGGCAGGCCUAACACAUGCAAGUCGAGGGGUAGCAGGAUUAAGCUUGCUUAAUUGCUGACGACCGGCGCACGGGUGCGUAACGCGUAUGCAACCUACCUUAUACUGGGGUAUAGCCCGGAGAAAUUCGGAUUAAUCCCCCAUAGUACUAAUGAAUCGCAUGGUUUAUUAGUUAAAGCAUUGCGGUAUAAGAUGGGCAUGCGUCCUAUUAGCUAGAUGGUGAGGUAACGGCUCACCAUGGCUACGAUAGGUAGGGGGCCUGAGAGGGUGGUCCCCCACACUGGUACUGAGACACGGACCUGACUCCUACGGGAGGCAGCAGUGAGGAAUAUUGGUCAAUGGGCGCAAGCCUGAACCAGCCAUGCCGCGUGCAGGAAGAAUGCCCUGUGGGUUGUAAACUGCUUUUAUUUGGGAAUAAACCUCUUUACGUGUAGAGAGCUGAAGGUACCAAAUGAAUAAGCACCGGCUAACUCCGUGCCAGCCGCCGCGGUAC